ACUAAAAGAGAUUUGGAAACUUCCGCCGGGGAAGACAAUUGAUGUACCCUUUAAUAAUCGUAACCAAGCUAUUGGGAAAGAGGGUCGAAAGCUUGCUAGCUUUCUAGGAAUUAUUGGCAGAACUUGGAACUAACACCUCUACAUGUAGAUGAUUGGAGAAAUUUUGACAACGAAGAAAAGAAGAAAUUGGUGGAUUUUGCGAAGAAGAAGUUCUCUAUCCCAAAACGUGGAGAGGCGUGGGUCUUAAAGUCACUAGGAAAAAAAAUGAAAAUAUUACAAGUGCAGUUUGAAGGGUGAGUAUGCGCAAAAAUAUAAGAAUAAAGACGCUUUACUAAAAAAUAGACCAAGUCGUAUACUGCGGAUUAAUGGAGUGGUCUUGUCUCGUAUUGGCUUUCCGAUAAAGCUAAGGUUUGAUCGACAAAGUGACGAAAUGUCAAAGAUCGGCUCAAA